rnacentral:rRNA from 1 species
UGGGGAAUAUUGCACAAUGGGCGCAAGCCUGAUGCAGCCAUGCCGCGUGUAUGAAGAAGGCCUUCGGGUUGUAAAGUACUUUCAGCGAGGAGGAAGGCGUUGUGGUUAAUAACCGCAGCGAUUGACGUUACUCGCAGAAGAAGCACCGGCUAACUCCGUGCCAGCAGCCGCGGUAAUAAGGAGGGUGCAAGCGUUAAUCGGAAUUACUGGGUGUAAAGCGCACGAAGGCGGUCUGUCAAGUCGGAUGUGAAAUCCCCGGGCUCAACCUGGGAACUGCAUCCGAAACUGGCAGGCUAGAGUCUUGUAGAGGGGGGUAGAAUUCCAGGUGUAGCGGUGAAAUGCGUAGAGAUCUGGAGGAAUACCGGUGGCGAAGGCGGCCCCCUGGACAAAGACUGACGCUCAGGUGCGAAAGCGUGGGGAGCAACA